rnacentral:rRNA from 1 species
GAUGAACGCUGGCGGCGUGCCUAAUACAUGCAAGUCGAGCGAACGGACGAGAAGCUUGCUUCUCUGAUGUUAGCGGCGGACGGGUGAGUAACACGUGGAUAACCUACCUAUAAGACUGGGCUAACUUCGGGAAACCGGAGCUAAUACCGGAUAAUAUUUUGAACCGCAUGGUUCAAAAGUGAAAGACGGUCUUGCUGUCACUUAUAGAUGGAUCCGCGCUGCAUUAGCUAGUUGGUAAGGUAACGGCUUACCAAGGCAACGAUGCAUAGCCGACCUGAGAGGGUGAUCGGCCACACUGGAACUGAGACACGGUCCAGACUCCUACGGGAGGCAGCAGUAGGGAAUCUUCCGCAAUGGGCGAAAGCCUGACGGAGCAACGCCGCGUGAGUGAUGAAGGUCUUCGGAUCGUAAAACUCUGUUAUUAGGGAAGAACAUAUGUGUAAGUAACUGUGCACAUCUUGACGGUACCUAAUCAGAAAGCCACGGCUAACUACGUG